CAGCAGAAGUCUGAUAAGUGCUCGGGAAAAAUGCCAUAUGGCAUGUGCAUCGUCACAAAAAAUACGAUGAGCUCCAAACUCUGCAAAUGUCUUCGUGCCACAGGGAUGCACAACCUACAUUAGCAAAAAAAAGUACCAUCUGUCAUUAAUGAAGAAAGUAUCUCGGCCUGGUUCUUCCUAGUGGUGGCAAGCGAAAGAAAACCAAACCUGUCGUUGUUCACUGCGUGUAGAAAACUAUUGAGAACAGCUCUGGCAGAAUUUUAGUGUUUAAGAACUGCAAAGGACAGGUUAACUAUGAGAUUAUUGCACCACAAAAUCCAAUUGAAAAGCACCCAAUGAAAUCCCAGCACAGACCACACACUUUCCACUGCCAAGGAGUCUUUUGCUGGAGUCACUGAUUUUUCAGAUGAUUGCACACUGAGGAUAACUUAUUUCUCCAGUGAAAUACUGAUACAACGUAUAAGGAGAAAAAAUGGGCAAUAAAUGGUGUAUGUCAGCUCCUCAACAGGAAACUGUGUACAGAAACACCACGGAUCUUGCAAUUUUAUGAGGACAAUGCAACUCCUCUGCUUGACAGAUGCCUGCAAAACUUCAUCACACCUUUGUGAGGACCUCUUUGGGUCUUUAAGAGAGAAGGUUUCAGCCUCUCAGGAGCAAAGAUUUAUAUCCAAGGAGUUCUAUUGGCCCUGCACCAACGAUUAAAGUCUGCAAACUGUUGCAAACAGCAAGAAUGACACUGCUUCUGGUUUUCCUUCUACUUUGCAGUCAAAACAGGAAUCCUACCUUCUUGGACUUGUGAAGAGCUCUCCCAGAUUGGACAACAGGCAGACAACUGUGCGCUACAAAAUGUGUUGCAGCCUGUGCCAUGAGCUGAAGUGACUGUUCACUGUUCUUGUGAAUCUUUUUCUACCAUUGCAGCAAAGAAACCAGUUGCCAGUAUUCCUCACUGUGAUUUUUUUCCCUGAGCCAUCUCAGCUGCUUCACCCAGCUAAGUCAUCUGGGUUCCAUGCUCUCUGUCAAGUUGUCAUGCUCUAGUGUCUUCUAUACAAAAAACUAUUUCACGUAAUUUAUAGGUAAGUGGGAUGCUUUCCGAAUUUAUAACCUCGGAUCUUAAAGGCAGCAGUUAUUCAAAGUAAAGGUACCAUUCCUUUGAGCAAACUAGCAGAAUGUGUGGGCAUUAUAUAUCUAAUUCUGUAAAUUAACUGCAACCCUGAGUUGGCCUCUCAGUCAAAGUUGCAAACUGUUCACUGGUUCAGAGACAAAUUUACUUCUUAGCACAAAUGUGAUCGUCAAAGCACUUCAGGAGAAUGGCUGAACUUCAGCUUGCUUUGCCCAUUUGGAGAGACCCAAACGUUUACCUCUUGCUAGAGCAGGAUGGUUGACUGUGUACCAUUUCUCUCUCAUGACAAGGGGACAUCUCCCCACAGUCAUUUUUGGUGGUGUCCCGGUGUUGCCUGCCAGGAGGAAAGGGGAAUUUUAUCAGUUACCAGGAUUCUGGCAGUUCUUGUUUGUGCAGGUAGCCCAAAAUACAGGUGUAUUUCAAGAAAUGAUUUAGUUGUAUUAAGAUAAGAAGUAUAUUCUACACUGCUUCCCAGACUGGGCUGUAAACAAUAGUUUAACAAGCACAUCUGUGUCCCAGAAUGUAAGUACCUCCAUAUUUUUGCAUUGAAGCUUACUUACAGUCCAUGAUCACUACUAAUCUUGACAUCUUUGAAAAUGUAGAAGGAAGAAAUGGUAUGUGAAGAAGGAAAAAGUGGUCCUCAGUUAGGAAAAAAAAGGUAUUUCAUGAGCUGCUCUCCCAAUCUUUAAUGACAUAGAGAAGGAAAAAUAUUCUCAAAGACCUUGAUAUAACCAUUAACUCUUUAACAGAUACAGAACGUGGUCUAAGGACUAGUUUCUGCAGAAAGAGACAGUUAUCUCACAGAAGUCUUAAAGAAUUUGGAUAAUUCACAACAGACAGAGUAAAGCCUGCAGUAACAUGGUUUUGCCCUGCCAAGACUGAAAGUAGAACAGACUUUUCUGUAAACAAGUUUUGUAUAGACAACCAGGUGUCUGUUGAAUGCUUUGUGGUUAAUCACAUAUCUCCCAAAAUCCAGAAAAUUCACUUCCAAAGCCUGUAAACAAGGGAACAGGUCACCAAUAUUGACAAUAGCUGAGAUAAUUGACAAAAUUUUUUUUGAUAAUUGCGAAAUAUAUCUUUAGACUUCCAAAUAACUGCCAGGAAAUAAAAUUUGAGAUAGCUGUUAUCUGCCAGCAGUCCUUAUUAAAAUCCAGAUUGAAUUAAGGCUUUAAAAAACUAGAACAACCAGGAACCAUACAGCAUUUAUACUUAUGAGAACAAAUUCCAUCUAAAAAAAUAAAUGUGGAAAGACUUGGAAGAGUCUGAUAAUAUGGUCAAACUUUCAUGUGUAGAUCCUUCAAAAGCUCAGAAUAAAAUUAUACUUAGUUGUUCUUCACUCCUUAUUUCUUGAUUCCUUGUCAACUU